rnacentral:rRNA from 1 species
GAGUUUGAUCAUGGCUCAGAUUGAACGCUGGCGGCAUGCCUUACACAUGCAAGUCGAACGGUAACAGGUCUUCGGAUGCUGACGAGUGGCGAACGGGUGAGUAAUACAUCGGAACGUGCCCAGACGUGGGGGAUAACGAGGCGAAAGCUUUGCUAAUACCGCAUACGAUCUAAGGAUGAAAGCAGGGGACCGCAAGGCCUUGCGCGUUUGGAGCGGCCGAUGGCAGAUUAGGUAGUUGGUGGGAUAAAAGCUUACCAAGCCGACGAUCUGUAGCUGGUCUGAGAGGACGACCAGCCACACUGGGACUGAGACACGGCCCAGACUCCUACGGGAGGCAGCAGUGGGGAAUUUUGGACAAUGGGCGAAAGCCUGAUCCAGCAAUGCCGCGUGCAGGAUGAAGGCC